rfam:Poecilia formosa, whole genome shotgun sequence.
ACAAAGGCUGUGUUGACAGCCAUAGAUCACUGAUUUGGAAAGGUUAU